UUUUGGAAACAAAAUCUGUCGCGGUGUUUGGAGGAAUUGAAAAUCUUCAUCGAUAUAAAAUUCUCGAAUAGCAACUAGAUAACAGGUAACACUAUAUCAUCAGUAAAAGUGGAACCAGGUGGACACAUUUGGAAACUUAGCGGUGCUAAUAUAGAUCAACCACCAUAGGUGGCGACGGCGCAAAAGAAGCAAUCCAUACAUAAAUAAAUUAAUGAACGGAUCAAAAUACGCAGUACAUGCACUUGUACUAACUAAUAAAUAGUUGCAGAAACAACGCUGAAUUACCUAAAACAGAACAUAUUUUUCUUAAUAAAAAAAUCGACAUUAAAACA
rnacentral:lncRNA from 1 species